UGACGUCCACAGUCCAGAUACUACACUUGGAAUGAUACAGAGAAGGCCAGCAUGGCCCCUGAGCAAGGAUGACGUGGGGCUUCAUGCAGCAUGCUGUGCUUUU